rnacentral:rRNA from 1 species
AGUGAACGCUGGCGGUAGGCCUAACACAUGCAAGUCGAACGGCAGCACAGUAAGAGCUUGCUCUUACGGGUGGCGAGUGGCGGACGGGUGAGGAAUACAUCGGAAUCUACUUUUUCGUGGGGGAUAACGUAGGGAAACUUACGCUAAUACCGCAUACGACCUACGGGUGAAAGCAGGGGAUCUUCGGACCUUGCGCGAUUGAAUGAGCCGAUGUCGGAUUAGCUAGUUGGCGGGGUAAAGGCCCACCAAGGCGACGAUCCGUAGCUGGUCUGAGAGGAUGAUCAGCCACACUGGAACUGAGACACGGUCCAGACUCCUACGGGAGGCAGCAGUGGGGAAUAUUGGACAAUGGGCGCAAGCCUGAUCCAGCCAUACCGCGUGGGUGAAGAAGGCCUUCGGGUUGUAAAGCCCUUUUGUUGGGAAAGAAAAGCAUCAGGUUAAUACCCCGCGGUUCUGACGGUACCCAAAGAAUAAGCACCGGCUAACUACGUG